CCAUGGCGCCUGUUUAUCAAAAACAUGGUUUUUUGAUAGAAUAAAAAAUCUGGCCUGCUCAAUGCUUAGGUAAAUAGCCGCAGUAUUAUGACUGUGCUAAGGUAGCAUAAUCAUUUGUCUUUUUAAUGGAGUCUAGAAUGAAAGGUUAGACGAAGAGAAAGCUGUCUCUUUAUUAAAAAAUGAAUUUUAUUAUUUAGUAAAAAGGCUAAUAUGAGUCUGAGGGACGAUAAGACCCUAUUAAACUUAAUUUUGUAAUUUUGCUGGGGUGGUAAAAUAAGAUUGAAAUCUUAUUGGGAAAGUUUUAAAUUUAUUGACCCAAUAUUAUUGAGGGCGAGAUAAAGUUACUAUAGGGAUAACAGCUUAAUUUUUUCUUGAAGUUCUUAUUUUAGAAAAAGUUUGAGACCUCGAUGUUGAAUUAAAGUAUCUUUUUAGUGCAGAAGCUAAAUUAAGAAAGUCUGUUCGACUUUUAAAUCUUUACGUGAUCUGAGUUCAGACCGGCCAUGGGAAG
rnacentral:rRNA from 1 species